rnacentral:lncRNA from 1 species
UCUGAAAGAAGAGUCCUUUACUCUGGGAAACAUUCUUUUGCCUUCCAUGGCAAUCUCUGUUUGGAGUCUUUAUUCUUGCCUUUCCCCUCCUCAACUUUGUCUUUCUCCACCCCUGCCUUCUCUCUCUCCCUCCCUCUCUUCUUAGCAUAUCCUUUCAUGAUUAGAUUAAUUUGUUUACCCAGACAAGGGGAAGAAUGAGAGUUUGCAUAUUGGUAAGAACAGGCUUCCUUUCCCAGUGCUGGAAACAUUGAACUCUCCUCUCUGCCUUCAUGGAGGCUUCAAGCAAAAAAAAAAAGAAAUGACACCUCAUCCUAAAACAAAAGAUGUUCUGAGAUCUUUUAAAAUCCUGCUGAAGUAAAGAGAGGGCAGAGAGUGUGUGUGUGUGUGUGUGUGUGUGUGUGUGUGGGUAGACCCACAGCCUUGAAGGAUUGUCAAGGCCAGUCUCUGAAGUGGAGACAGACAGUAAGGCUCUGAUGAGCUCUGAUGAGGACUGAUGCCAAGGUGGGUGAGAGGAAGCACACAGGAGCCCUGCUGCAGACAAGAGCUGCGCACGUGACCAUGAGUGGGAAACCACAACAUCUGGACAGUGGUGAUCUCAUCCACGUAUCAGCCUCAAGGUAUGUGUUUUCACAUUCUAAUCUUAGUGAAAUGAGAAAUUAUUACAUUUCAAUGACCCUUUGUGUCACUGGUAAUUCUUGGAGCCAUAUUUGCUUUUUAAAAGAAUCUAGACUACAAAAUCCCCAUGAGUUAAGUGGGGAAAAAUGUCUUCCUUCACAUCCAGGCCUCAAAAUAGCUCAAUUUUUCAUUAACAAUUCCCAAGUCAUGUCGACAAAGACCAACAGCCCCACCAUAGCCCCCAAAAGUUGUGAUUUAUUUCUCAAGUUUAUGAAAGACUAUGGUUCAAAUAGAAGAGAUAUUUGCAAGAAAAAAAGAUAA